rnacentral:rRNA from 1 species
CACGUAGGGCGCGAGCGUUGUCCGGAAUUAUUGGGCGUAAAGAGCUCGUAGGCGGUUUGUCGCGUCUGCUGUGAAAACGCGAGGCUCAACCUCGCGCCUGCAGUGGGUACGGGCAGACUAGAGUGCGGUAGGGGAGAUUGGAAUUCCUGGUAUAGCGGUGGAAUGCGCAGAUAUCAGGAGGAACACCGGUGGCGAAGGCGGGUCUCUGGGCCGUUACUGACGCUGAGGAGCGAAAGCGUGGGGAGCGAACAGG